AGGGCAAUAGCUCAACUGGCAGAGCAUCGGUCUCCAAAACCGAAGGUUGGGGGUUCAAGUCCCUCUUGCCCUGCGA
rnacentral:tRNA from 2 species